rnacentral:rRNA from 1 species
CGCGUAGGCGGAAUGGCAAGUCGGUCGUGAAAUCCUUCGGCUCAACCGAAGAACGUCGAUCGAAACUGCCGUUCUUGAGGAUUGCAGAGGAGACUGGAAUUCCCGGUGUAGCGGUGAAAUGUGUAGAGAUCGGGAGGAACACCGGUGGCGAAGGCGGGUCUCUGGGCAAUUCCUGACGCUGAGGCGCGAAAGCGUGGGGAGCAAACG